UACGGGGGGGGGCAAGCGUUGUUCGGAAUUACUGGGCGUAAAGGGCGCGUAGGCGGUUGGAUAAGUCAGCUGUGAAAACCACGGGCUUAACUCGUGGCCUGCAGUUGAGACUGUCUGGCUUGAGUGUGGGAGAGGAGAGUGGAAUUCCUGGUGUAGCGGUGAAAUGCGUAGAUAUCAGGAGGAACACCGAUGGGCGAAGGCAGGUCUCUGGGCCACUACUGACGCUGAGGAGCGAAAGCGUGGGGAGCGAACAGG
rnacentral:rRNA from 1 species